UGGUGGAGUGAUUUGUCUGGUUAAUUCCGUUAACGAACGAGACCUCAGCCUGCUAAAUAGUCUAACAAAGGUACGCCUUUGGUUGUCGGACUUCUUAGAGGGACAAUCGGUUUCUAAUCGAAGGAAGUUUGAGGCAAUAACA
rnacentral:rRNA from 1 species